GAGGGAGUGUAAAAAGGUGAAUCCUACAAUAAAUAGAAAGGAGACCGCCUCUGGGGAUGGUGAGCAGGCCUGAUGCUUUGUUCUUCAGGAAGCCUAAAAUCCUUACCGUAGUCAUCCACUUGAAAUGAAAACGGAUUCAGUCCUCAUAUCCACACUC
rnacentral:other from 1 species